ACCCAACAGCUAGCCCACCCAACUAUAGAACCCCCCCCCCCCUAUUACCCACCUUUUCACUAAAACCAAUACAAACCAAACCAUUUUUCCUCCUUAGUACGGGCGACGGAAAAGGAGAACACAGGAGCAACAGACGAAGUACCGUAAGGGAACGCUGAAAAAGAAAUGAAAUAACCCCCUACAAGCCCAGCAAAGCAGAGCCUAACCCUCGUACCUUUUGCAUCAUGAUUAAGCCAGUACACUGAAGCGAAGUGUCCUUUAGUUUUCUACCCCGAAACUAGACGAGCUACUCCGAGACAGCCUAUUGAAGGGCCAACCCGUCUCUGUGGCAAAAGAGUGGGAAGAACUCCGAGUAGAGGUGACAGACCUACCGAGCCUAGUAAUAGCUGGUUGCCUGGGAAAUGGAUAGAAGUUCAGCCCUCCGACUUGCCCCACCCCGACUGCACCAAACAGGGCCCCGGGGCCCAGACGAAGGCGUUAGUCAAAGAAGGUUCAGCUUCUUUGAAUAAAGGUACAACUUUUUAAGGAGGUUUAAGAUCAUAGACAAACAAGGAACAAUUAUUUUAGUGGGCCUGAAGGCAGCCAUCUUCAAAGAAAGCGUUAAAGCUUAUACAAAAUUUUGCCCUUCAAUUACGAUAAAAUUAUCUUAUCCCCCUGAAUUUACCAGGCCACUUCAUGCCCCCAUGAAAGAGACCAUGCUUAAAUGAGUAAUAAGAGGGCCCGACCCUCUCCCUGCACAUGUGUAAAUCGGAUCGGACCCCCCACCGAUAUUUAACGGCCCCAACCGCAUAGAGGGAAUUGAACAUCAACCCAAUGACAAACCAGAAAAACACUCAACUAAACUAAACCGUUGACCCCACACAGGAGUGCCUCCCCGGGAAAGACAAAAGAAUGAGGAAGGAACUCGGCAAAUACAAGCUUCGCCUGUUUACCAAAAACAUCGCCUCUUGCGAGCAAAAGAAUAAGAGGUCCAGCCUGCCCGGUGACUUUCACGUUUAACGGCCGCGGUAUUUUAACCGUGCGAAGGUAGCGCAAUCACUUGUCCUUUAAAUGAGGACCUGUAUGAAUGGACUGACGAGAGCUUAACUGUCUCCCUCAUUUAGUCAAUGAAAUUGAUCUCCCCGUGCAGAAGCGGGGAUAACACCAUAAGACGAGAAGACCCUAUGGAGCUUUAAACAAUCAAGCGGCCCACAGACUACAGCUCUCGUCCCAUAAUAAAAAUGAGCUGACCUCUACCUGGACGUACCGCUUUAUGUUUUUGGUUGGGGCGACCGUGGAGAAAAGAAAAACCCCCAUGAGGACCGGGGACCCACCCCUCUUUCCCUAUAGCCUAGAGCCUACUGCCCAAAGCAUCAGAACCUCUGACCCUAAUGAUCCGGCCCACCAGCCGAUCAACGAACCCAGUUACCCUAGGGAUAACAGCGCAAUCUCCUCUCAGAGCCCCUAUCGACGAGGAGGUUUACGACCUCGAUGUUGGAUCAGGACAUCCUAAUGGUGCAACCGCUAUUAAGGGUUCGUUUGUUCAACGAUUAACAGUCCUACGUGAUCUGAGUUCAGACCGGAGUAAUCCAGGUCAGUUUCUAUCUAUGACUUGCUCUUUUCUAGUACGAAAGGACCGAGAAGGAAGGGCCCAUACCCCUCGCACGCCCUACCCGUAUUUGAAGAAUUCAACUAAAGCAAACGAAAAGGCAAACCAUAUUUUAAUCCCCGCUGAAGAUAACGGCAGU
rnacentral:rRNA from 1 species